UACGUAGGGGGCGAGCGUUGUCCGGAAUGAUUGGGCGUAAAGGGCGCGUAGGCGGCCCUGUAAGUCUGAAGUGAAAGUCCUGCUUUUAAGGUGGGAAUUGCUUUGGAUACUGCAGAGCUUGAGUGUAGGAGAGGUAAGUGGAACUCCCAGUGUAGCGGUGAAAUGCGUAGAGAUUGGGAGGAACACCAGUGGCGAAGGCGACUUACUGGACUGUAGCUGACGCUGAGGCGCGAAAGUGUGGGGAGCAAAC
rnacentral:rRNA from 1 species